GUUCAUCACCGUCAGAGCGCUCUGACGCGAUACGGUGACAACACCGACCGACCCGUCGGUACACUCAGCCUCCGCCCAUCGCGUGCUUCCACAGAAACACCGACUGUGCGAUGCGUGACCUGUUGACGCUCGGUGCGCAGUGCUGCGCUUCUGUGCCUGCCACAAUGGACAACUGAACAUCCAACCUCAACAUGCCUACAGUUUAUUGGAAUAAGGGCAAGCUUGCGAGUAUUUGUAUUUGUAUGCUUCAGCACGCAUCCCAGGAUAUGACCCAGUCCUGGCCUUACCAGCAGCCCCCAGGGGAGGGGGGUACUCAACAUUUCCUGUACACACACUCAAAGGAGGAAAAACAGUCCAAUUUACGACACAGACAUGUGAGGGACGGCGUCUCUAUGAGGAUCCCCUCCCGUCCACUUGUGGCCCCUCACAAAUCCAUGCUUGCUGAUGACCUAAAGCUCAGCAGUGACGAGGACGACAGGGACGAGGGAAGUGAGCAAACAACAUCUUGGGCCGAUAAUGAGCGCUUGUCAGGCCAGCAGCAGCGCACACGCACACAUGGCGGACGGGUGAGACAUUCUAGCUCAGGGUCUUCGGGAUCAGACUCCUCUAGUGAGUGGGAAAGCAGCCCACGCAGGGGAUCACGCAGCCCAAGCCCAGAAACGCUCACCCAGUAUGGGUCACCAUCCCAACAGCAGAAACUAAACUGUAGCACCGAGACGGAGAGUCCACCCACCACACAGUGGCAGCUCGACAGGUGGCUUGACAAAGUCCCCAAAAAACUGACAGACCACGACCCUGGAGGGGGACAGCGUCGGGGUCCAAAAUCUGACAGUGGCCGAGGACCAUCACCAGGAAAGUACUGGAGCAGAGACUCGGAGUCAAGACGGGAUUACAGUCCAUGUGAAAGUCCUGUCCCUAGUCCAAAAUUUGACUAUAGCCCUAGAAACAGUCCUCGUGCCAGCCCUGAAUAUAGUCCUUGCCCCAGUCCAGGAAAUAGCCUUGUGCCAAGCCCAGUGCCAAGUGUGUGCCCAAGUCCAGGAGAGAGCUUUAGAGGUAGUCGAAGUCCCAGCCCUUUACCACUGCAUCCUCCCAGAAGCCCCAGUCCAAGUCUUUCAUCCAACGCAAUACCUACCCAAGAUUGUUUAACAUACCCUCAGGAUCGACCUACUCAGCCUGAAAGUCCCAGGCACACUGCACGACCAACUGUUGCCUCCAAUACACCGCAUCGUCCCAAAGUCAGGCCAUGGGUGCCUUCGGACCAUAACACUGAACAGAGAAAGGAGUCUAGAACUAAAGACUCUAGAUCCAGAGACACUAGACCUGGUCCUCCCCAAGAACAUCAUUCCAAACACAGCUUAACAAAUAAGUCACAGAAAGACCUCCGACACAAGCCUGAAGCCAAAGGUUCUGAAUCCAUAGCCAAGCAAAAGAUUAACCCAGCUUCAAACCCAAUACCCAAGCAUCAAUCUAACUCUAGACCAAGCCCAAAACCACCUAAGCACUUACCUGAACAUAGUAUUGAACAUAAUCACAGAACAAGAGAACCUACAGGAGUUUCAAUUCGGUCAACUUCCAAAUCAGGACAUUCAUCCCAUUUCAACACUUCAAAGAGCUCUGACCGUGGUCCCACAUCGAAAUCCAGAGACUCAUCCAGAAACGACGUGAGCAGUCGAUUCAGCCACAGCUCCAACUCUAGCUCUAAGUCUAAACCUUUCUGUGAUAGCAAACAAUCCAGUUUUAAACCAAGUUCUCAACAAAGUUCCAGCCCAAAGCCCAAGAUUAAACUCUGGGACACACCAGUUCCCAGAACUGGGCAUUCACAAAAAGAGUCAAACCCAAGAGACAGGGAGCGGGAGGUGGACAACCGAGGUAAAGCCCAGGGAGUGACACUGGUGCCAACCGGCAAAGAGCAGAGACACAGGAGACUGGCGGAGGAGCAGCUAACAAGGCGCCGUUGGGUUCGGAGUUCUGAGGAAGAGGAAGACGACAAAGACAGGAGAAGAGAGGAAGGGGAACGAGAGAGGAGAAGGAGGAGGGAGCAUGAAGCUGAAUGGCAACCAGUGCAGCCAAAGCAAAGACCUCAUACGAAUAGCCAGCAUCAACCUUCACAGGAAAGCAACGGACUGAACCUUGAAGAGCAGAGGAGGAAGAAGAGAAGGCAGAGUAAUGAGGACAUUUCUUUGCGUUCUCAUGUACUAGACUCCAGUCCAUCUCCUCCACUUUCUCCACCCUCCCCUACUCCUGUCAUCAAGCCCAAACAUUCAUCAUCUUCCUCAUCCUCAUCUUCCUCAUCUUCUUCGUCAUCUUCCUCUGAUUCAGAAUCAGAGUCUAGUCCUCCACGAAAUGUUGCCAAAGUCCCUGCAGAUUCAACAUCAAGCCAAAAGAGGCACAACAAACAGAGCACAGGUACUAGUGGUCACUCCAACAAGUCAAGUUUAAGCACCCCAGAGACAGAUAAGCGAGGUCGGGGCAGGCACAAACUCUACACCUUGGUUCCUUUCGGGCGUACUGAACAUUCUCCGACCAUCUCGCAUCGAGGCCUAAGAAAUCUGGUCGUGAGAAUAGACCUCUCGCUUCUGGCCAGAGUCCCUGAUACAAAUGAGAUUCCAGAGAAACAGUCCUCAUCUUCAUCUUUAUCAUCAGGAAAAACAAAAGAAAAGACAUCAAUGAGACAUCUGCACCAUUCAGAGCAACUGCCUAGUGAUGGCAGAAGUAAAAGAAAAGCGGAUAAUGGAGAAGCUCAGAGGGACAAUAAGAGAACUCGCACAGAAAAGCUUCCCGUCACAAUCAACAGAGAGACUGAAGAAACUUGCUCUGACAUCAAACAAAAUGGAUGUCAAGAAGAUUAUUUUUACUCCAAGAGGCCUUUGUCCCCAUUAUCUCCUCCAUCUGACCUAGUAGAGCGCUCAAAGCCCUCAGUGAAACCUCAGCAUACUGAAAAGUACCACACACCUUUAGAGAAAGACAGAGAUUCAACAACACAGAAAAUACAGGUCCAAAAAAUGCAGCCCAAGGUAGAGAAGGAGUGUGUUGGGCUUUCAGGACAUCCACAGCAUCUCUCUGGAUCCCGAGUUCCUCCUACAAACCUGCCUCUGCACUACAGAGGAACUGUACCUAUCAGUGAAGACUCUCAUCAUGCUGAGUACUACAUGCAUGAGGCCAAAAGGUUGAAACAUCGAGCAGAUGCUAUGGUGGAUAAGUUAGGAAAAGCUGUAAAUUAUGUGGAUGCUGCUUUGUCCUUUAUGGAGUGUGGGAAAGCAAUGGAAGAGGGACCACUUGAAUCCAAGUCUCCUUAUGCCAUGUAUGCUGAAACUGUGGAGCUCAUCAGGUACGCAAUGAGACUCAAAAGUCAUGCAGGUCCUGGAGCCAGUCAGGAGGAUAAACAGCUUGCUGUACUAUGUUUCCGCUGUCUUGCACUCCUUUAUUGGCAAAUGUUUAGACUCAAGAAGGACAACGCUUUAAAAUACUCUAAAGUCCUACUAGACUAUUUUAAGGGUUCUCCAAAAGCACCACACAAACCCCCUCCCUGGAACGAUUCUGGAAAGGGAGCUGUACCUCCUGCUUCUAUUUGUUCUGUCAAUAUAAUGGGAUCUCAUCCAGGCAGCUCACCAAGCAGUGUCAUUAGCAUUCCCCAUCGUAUCCACCAGAUGGCAGCAAACCACCUGAAUAUCACCAACAGUGUGCUGUACAGUUACGAGUACUGGGAGGUGGCUGAUACCCUGGCCAAGGAAAAUAAAGAAUUUUUUAACUAUCUGAACACACUGACUGGACCUUUGACUCUGCACAGCAGCAUGGCUCAUAUCGUCCAGUACACCAGGCAGGGGCUUCAGUGGAUCCGGAUCAGUGCUAAUCUAUCAUAACACUGUAACAGACACUCAAACAUCCCACAUCAACAACGCCAAAAUAACAAAACAUUGUACAGUUAUUUGAAGUCUGUGACCAACAGAUCUGAAUCAAGACUGCACUAAGUUAUUAUGUCAAGACUGGGAUUUAUAAGUGGACAUCUAUGACUUUCCUCACCCUACUUCCUACUAAAGAUGGACCGUUACAGAACACAACACACAUGCCUCCCAAAAAUCCUAUAUAAUUCAACCAACCAGAGGAUGACUUUGAAGCUGCCGAAGUGUUUCCAGUUAAGUGUGCCGUAUGGAUUAUUAGACGUUCAGCCAACAGCCCAUGGGCAUGACAUCUGAGAAUACAUGCUACCAAGCAUUAAAAGUGAUAAAAUCCAAGAUCACCUUCAUGUCAAAAACAGUCAUGUUUUGUUUAUUGCAAUCAAGACGGACAAAAUGAAACAAUCUUGGCCAUCCAGUUCUUAAGUACUUCUUUUUCAAUUUUUUAUUUGCUGCAAGUUUUCUAAAGGAACUUUGCUGGCUAAUUCUUGAAAUGCUGCUUUUCCAAAAUGUGCCACAUUUUUAUAUAAGAUAUAAUAAAAAUUCUUGUGUUUCUAUGUUUUUAAUGAGUCUUUUCAAAUCAGUACAUGGAGUAUCUUUAAAACACUCUUGAUGUGGCUGAAGUUCUUUGUACAAUAUGUCAUGUAGAUGUUAUGGUGCUGUUUUUAAAUAGUCAGCAAAAUGUCAUGUACUCAGUCUAUGCAAGACAAUUUAUGACGUUGUGAAGUUGUUGUAAAGCUUGUACUGUAAAAAGAGAACAUAAUCAGGCUUUUUUAAUUAAAGUGUUUUACUGUAGAUUGUUGCAGUGUUUGUGAUGUUGACAAUGAUGAAGUUUGUGGUCUUUAUAAAUCACAGCAAUCCAUUAUGAUUUGAAGACCUGCUGAUUAAGAUUUUAAUUUCUUUUUAUAUUCAAGCAAUCCAUCAUUAGCUACAGAUAAACAGAGACGUCAUGAUGGAUGAGCAAAAUUUUUUAUGAUCGCUGUCAAGGUACAUCUUUAUUUAUCUUUGUUUAUUUAUGUGUGAUAUUUACUGCAAUGCCUAUGUGGAAUUAUGGAUCCCUAAAACCUUUCUUAAAAUUUCCAAAGUAUUAUAUUUUUUGCCACAAUGUCAACUGUUACUACAAUAAAUCUAUGCGAAUGCGACAAAGAACAUGUGCACGUGCAUGACAGACAAAUGUACAACGAGGUAUUUGCCUUAUAUAGUCAUGCUUAGUUCCGUCAUACAGUCAUCAACAGUCAACAUUAAAGUUCAUAAUGUAUUAGUCAUAUCGAAUUACUAACAACAACAUUACUAUAAACUUAUUUUAAUGAAGUAACCAGAAAUUAUCGAAAACUUACCUCAUAAUUUACCACAGAAACGAAAACUGUCGUCUGAGGAGAGCAUCAGUUAAAUCCAGAAUGCCCGCUGUUUGAACUCAUGAGGCGCGUGCCCGCAAAUAAAAGGUGGGUUCGACUUCAUGCGGCGCUACAAGAACCGACACGCCGAUGACGUCGAAGUACCGCGAGAUCGAUUCAAAAUUAGACUUCCACUUGUGAUUUCUCGACUCGCUCUCGCGGUACGUUGACGUCAUUCCCUUGUCGGUUCUCGCAGCACCCCAUGAAGUCGAAGAAGCCUAAUAAAACAUAACGAAAUACCAUAUGUAAAAACAAAAUAAAGAUGGGAAAGAAGUGCUUCUCCAAGCGAAGCACUGCGUCCAGACGGAACCGAAAAUGACUCAAUUAGAACUCGUUCAACAUGAAAUAUUUCUUUUAUUAAAAUAAACAGAAAUAU